ACCACACAAAAGGGGUGUCGCUCCCGCCGCCCUACUCCCUCACUAAUGCCGGCGCCAACUCACCAGGACCGUGGUGCAGAUGGACCUCAGCUCCGACUCCACUUUCUCCCGAUAGUCCUUGAUCAGCUGCAACUUCUUGUCAGAGGUGUCGGUCUUCUGCUCAAUGCUCGAGAUGACCCUCCAGGCGGACCUGCGGCCCCCUACCACGUUUUUGUAGGCCACCGACAGCAGGUUGCGCUCCUCGUUGGACAGCUCGGCGCCCUGCUCCGUCACGGCUUUCAUGCAGGUGGCCAUGUCGUCGUAGCGCUCGGCCUGCUCGGCCAGCUUGGCCUUCUGGAUCAGCUCGGUCUUCUCCAUGGCGAGCGAGGGCGAGCGCCGAGCCGGAUCCGGAGUCCUCCUGAGAGCCGCGAGGGGCGGGGCGGGGCGGCGCCGGCGAGGACAAAAAGGAGCGAGGAGAGAGCGCGUCAGACAAUGCAGCCGGACGCCCGCUUUGUCUCAGCGCACGAGGCGGCGCGUCCUCCGGCCUCUCACGGGGCCGCCGCCUUCCGCCCGCGCCCUCCGGCCCGCCCGCCGCGCCUCCCCAAGGCCGGAGCGCGGGCCCCACCCGGCCCAAGAUGGAAGCGGCCGUUGGUGCCGCACCUUCCCGUCCCAGCCCGAACCUCAGGCGCGCGGUAGCCUAGCAGAUAUGAGGACCGUGCUCCGCCAACCCGGCCUCGGUACCUCGCGGCGGCUGUUGCAGCCGCAGUCCCAGAGCUGUGUCCGCACUCACCUUCUAGUCUCCGCAGCCGCGACGCGAGUCCCACCACUUUGAUCUGCUUUGGGCUUUAGCCGAGGACCCUCCCGUCUCAGCCUAGCACGGAGCCGACGAGCUCGCCACCGACCAAUAGAACGCUGCACCUCCCCAAGGAGUCCCGCCUCUAGCUUCUCCUCUGUCCAAUGAGGGGCGAGCGCGCGGAAGGGGGCCCAGGGGGCGGGGCGGGAAGCGAAGCGGAGGCUCCGAGGGUGGGUCGGCUCGGGUAGGUUCGGUUGGCCCGCAGGCUGCGGCUUCGGCCACGGGGUUUCCUCCAAUUAGAUCCAGGGUGAAUGGACGUCACUGUUGCCAUGGCGAUGCUUUUCCAACUCCCCUCAUCCUCCCCGCCAGCCCGGCACUCCUGGGUGCGGCACGGGACCGGAGGUGCUUUCGACCUCCGAGGCUGCGACCGCGUGUCCUGUAGCAGCAACCACUGCAGAUGGGGCGUUGCAGCUCUCGAGCUGCUGCGGCUGCAGCUGGACUUGGCAGGGGCACCCGAAAGCCAGCAAUUCCCUUAUGGAAAGGUAGAUUCAGGAGAUCUGGGCAGGACUGCGUGGCAGCGUCAGGCUCCCUUAUUUCCUAGCCCUCAAUCCAAUUCCUAGUGAGGUGGCUGUCCUACCGGACUCAAAGAAUGAAACUGCCACCUGGGCUCUGAAGAGAUGCCAGUUCCAGUAGUUCCUCAAGGGUUCAAAGAACUUCAGUGACUGCCACAGGCAAAGUGGAUUCAAAUGCUAAACGGAACCAAGCAGACCGAAGACUGCAGAAAGGAAGGUCUGACACUGAGCACAGAUGGGGGGGGGGGGGGGAAGAGACGAAGCUUCCAGAAAUUCAGAUCUCCUCCCAGCUGCCCCUCCCUACCCAACUUGUAAAGGUUGCUUUGUGCUUUGACCAGGAGAG
rnacentral:lncRNA from 1 species